CCGCCGCACCCGGAGCCCCUCGCACGGAGCCGCGGCCGGGGGACGGGAGGGCACCUCGCUUCUGGCAGCGAGAAACGUGUCCAUCCCCCCCGUCCCACCCCGAUCGCCUCCUCUUCGGCACUGAAGCUGCCAAGUAUUUCGCAUUAUAGGCAGUUUGCGCUCUCUGGUCCACCGAAAGUGUAAAACACGCUGUAUCAGUUUCCUCGUGCUAUGGGGAAAAUAAAAAGUAAAUUAACCGAAUUCGUUUUGUGCUCAACGCAGGACCUUCGCCUUCUGAAACGGGAACUGAAAUUGGGCUCGUCAGCAUCGAGUUGCUGAUGAAAAUCUUGGUCACCUCAGCAUUUGCCGUCUUUUUGUCUCCUUAAGAAAAAAAAAGUUAUGAGAAGUGUUUUGUACGUGUGAUAAGCAUAUUUAUGAAAGUGACCGCUAAAUUAUCCAGAAAUCCUGUCCUUAAGGCUAAAAACCUGUAAGGAAAUAAACAUAAUUAUAUAAUUGCCUAAUUAAAACCUUUACCAUAAUGCCUAUUCUCGUCUAAAGGUUACACAUUAAGUGCAGUGCUUAAGUACUGUGAGGAGAAUAAUUAUAGUUGUUGACAUUGUGUUGUGAAAUGUACAAAAAAAAAGUUAAUAUCUUUUUGAAAAAAAAACCCCCACUUGACUUCAAGCACUUUGUGCACUGAGUUAGAGCUUUAUGAUCAGGAUCAUUACAGGCAUGUUAGGAACUGAGACUGCCUGUGCAUGGACAGGCAGUUCAUGGGCUGUAGUUGGGAGUAAUGUAGUUUCCUGAACUGCUAGUAAAGGAAGGAAAGACUUGAACUUGUGCAGUUUAUUUUUGUCUGUUUAUUUUCCAUUAAUAACAUUUGAAUCUUUUAGCUAGAAUCAACCACAACUAACAAAAAGUUUUGAAAAAUAAUCUGGAAAAGAGCAUAUCACCCUUCAAAAAACCAGCAUCAUGAAUGGUAAUUACAUGAAAGAAUCCAUCCACAGACAACUGCUGUCUGAAUCACAAAUUAAUAAAAAUCAGGUUUCUUUGUCGCCUUGUCUUAAUAAUUGAUUUGCUUUUAUGUGAGAAGUGUUCGGAACUUUUCUAUGUUUUAAACUGUAACCGUUAAAUCAGAAGACACAGACCUGGAAAUCUCAGUAAUGUAACAUUUAAGCAUUCCUUCAUUCUUUAGGAUGUUAUUGUUAUUAUUUAUGUAUCGUCCAUUUCCAGGCCAAGUUUUUCAGAUUCAGGAGGGAAUACUUUGUCACAUGUCUGUAAAGCAGCCAGCUUUCUACAGUCUCUGGGCAGCUUCUGGCACUGUACUCAUGAGGAACACUCAUGGUGACACAGAACACAGCACAUUGUAACUACAGGAACAGACUCGACUGUGAAAGAUCUCUAUCAGGCAUCACAGAGAAUUUGAGGCAGCUGGCAGUUAUCAGCUGAAGCAGUUAGUCACUAGAACUGCACAAGAUAAAUAGAUAAUUGAAAAGCCAUCUGGAAACCUGGGAGAGAUAAUAAGCCUCUCUUCUAGAAGUGAGGUAACAACUCAGGUAGGUCACAGAUGAACUCAACUCCCAGAUCAGUGCUUUGCCUAAUAACACUGAAAAUGCAGCAGCAGUUCAUGCCUGUCAGUUCUGAAGUAGUAUUGAGGUUGUUGUUGGAAAGGCAGUUUGGCAUAUUCAGUUAUACAAAUCAUUAUUGCAAUAGAGUGAAAAAGGAUUGUAGUGCUGUAAGACAGGUGCCCAAAAUCCCCAGAGCAACAUGGCCCUUUGUUAAAUUACAGUUGCCUAAAUAGAAAACUAGUUGCACGCACUUUUUACCCUCCGUGCUACCUUGUUUAUACUGCUGUGCAAGUGGUAGUAUUCCUGCCACGCUGACCGCGGUUGUCUGUGGGGCAAGUUACUUCUUUUUUUGUGAAAUUUAUAUUUAUAUUGAGAUAAUGGAACUAUCUUUGUUUUAUUUACCAUGAGCACAAAGAAUGGAGCAGAAUGGCCGAUGUCUAUGAGUGAAAGAAUGUGUUGAUCUUAGUAGUUGCAUUUUAAAAGAGUCCUAAAGAGUCUUUCUGUUCAAGUCACUCUUAUGAUUCUCAAAUUUCUGACUACAGAAAGUGUGACAUCUUGCAUGAACAUGCCAGGAAAUUGAUACCAUUUGGUAACUCCUCUUGCUAGGUUCUGAUCUCUUAUAGAACUAUAUUGAUUGUAGGGAAAGAACAUGAGAUAUUUUUGUGAGAGUGGGCACAGAAAAUAAGUUUUUGGCCUUUUCAAAAAAGAAAGUGGCAUCUUGCCAUCAGAGAAGUGCUUGAGUUGAUCCACUGACAUCUGUCUAUUCUGUUAAACCACUCAGGUGGAUCACAGGAAAUAACUGCUGCCAGUGUAAUAUUAAUUCUUGUGAGGUGAACAAAACAAAACAAAACAAAACCCCCAAACAACCAACAAACCCAAAAAAAAAAAAAACAAACAAAAAAGAAAAAGGGUAAGACUUUUGCUGCUCAAUUUACUUUGAAAGAUGCCUUUAAAAAUCUGUCUCUAAAAAUUCUGUUUAAAAAAUUCUGUGCAUUUACACUGAAAGAGCAUAGAGCAAAACACAUACUUUUGUGUUUUGUGUCAUCAAACCUUUUUACUGUAUUAUUUGCUACAAUUACAGUGGUAGUUACAGUAUCAGUUGUUACACUACAGUGGCUAAGAAAGUAACAUAUUAAAUUCUCAAAAUCCUUUAACAAAAAUUUGCAUGUGUCCAUGUUGCUGGCUGCAGAAAUAAUGUAAUUAAUUUGAACAGUCUCUGUAAAUCUUAAAAACCCCUGCUUUUAUUUUUUAGGUAUUGUUCUAAUUUCUAUUUUACUGUGGUACUGGACAUGAAUUAGUUGUGCAUAUAUGUAAAUUCUGCUUCUAUGUAUUGUCUGUUGAGGAUGUUUUCCUUUCCUAUCUCAUUUUAUGACUGCUAAAACAAAAAAAUGGCAAAGCUUUAAAGCUUACAAAUGCAUGAAAAAUUUUAAAUUACCAUUUGCUGUUUUGAGGCCUGAUUCAUCUUUCCAUUAUAAUCCUAGUGAUAGACUUUGGUCAGUCUAGAGCCCUUUUUCAUAUCAGUUUCUAAGUUUAGAUACAAGUGUACAAUUGUAAGUUAUCAUUGUGUUGUAACACAUGCCUAACUUCAUUAGAUUACAAAACUUUUUAGGUAGCAGGAGAAUUUUCAUUCUCACUUAUUUAUUUUUAUUUCCUUUUAAAAGAAGAUGAAAUGCCAAAAAAUUGCUUUUUAGAUAAAAUUCCAAAAUCUGCCUAAGUGUUUAUUAUAUAAGAAUGCAAUAUAGCAAUAAUUAUAAUCUAAAAAGAUGUUGGCAACAUGCUGUUGUAAACACUGCAAAUAAUACUUAGAAUAAUAUGCAGAGUCAGAAGUAAGAAAGCAUCACUCAGAGGGAAGCAUUUUUAUAAUUAGGAAGAAACAGAUCUAUUUUACUUUUUUCUCUCUCUUAUGAAUCCUUUGAGUAUUUCAGUCUUUUUCUGUGCUGUGAUCCAGAUUCAACAAGAAAAGUGCAGAAUAAAUAGUUCAGCUCAGGCUCACACUUUAUAACUGAAAUUUAGGCUCUACUGUAGGAGGUCUGAACAGAGGAACUAUUUGUGGUCAAGUUCACUAAUUGUGCAUGAAGGGAGAGAUCCUUCAUUAUCUGGUUGUGCUCAAAUAUCAAGUCAGCACUCUAAAUCUCGGGGGAUGAAGGUGUCUGUUUUAUAUAGGCACAUGACUUAGAUUAACUCUUCAGACAAACAUCAUGCCUGAGUGUUUCCAAAGCGCUUUGCUCUACCAUCAGGAAAAAGGAAAACGGUUCCCCCUAAAGGGUUCUGAAUUUCAUCAUGAAGGCACUUAAACCCCUGCUUGUUUGAGAGCUGGCUGCCUAAGGAACUAUGUGUGAACCCUCCUGCAGCUAUAAUAUUCUGAAUAAAGCCCUUGAGCAUAGAUAGAUUUGCAGAAAUGUUAAGCAUCAGUGAGCAUACUCUGAUGGGAUCAUAGUCUGCACUCAAGGUAACGUGACAGUCCAACUCCUGAGGAGGUUCACAGAACAUAAUGAAUUUCUUGAAUACCAUGAGUACAUUGAACUAAUCUUCAGUACUUCACUUGUUAUCCAUUCUGAUGAAAGCACUAGAAUAUAUGGUCAAAAUCAUGCAUGAAGAGCUUUCACUUCAUGGCGUUAUGUCUUAUUAUUAUAAUCUUGGUUUACUUUGCAACUCACUUCUGGGAUAAUCACAUUUUUACAGAGUGGGUAAAACUUUAGAAAUAGAAGUAUGGUUGGAAUACUAGUGCUUGGUAUGCUUCAAAACUGUAAAAAUCAUCAGUAUAUAAUGUAUUUACUUUCUUUACUGAUCAGGUCAAAAAUGUGUGUCUACAUUUUAGGGGACACUUACCAAACAAAUUCUUCUCCUAACACACAAUCAACACCAGGAGACUUUUGAAGAAGAAAAACCACAAUAUUUAUGUCAACUUUCCAUUCGGGGAAGGUCUCAGAUUGCUAACAAACACUGUUUUCCCAACAAAUGGCAAUGGCAAUGUGUUUGCAGGUAUUCACACAUGUCCUCUUACUUUUUGGUGACUUUCUUUUUCUUUAACAAUAAGACCUGAUGAAACUUCUGCUGGUGCCCCAGGAUCACACUGUUUUGUUUUGUUUAUUCCACAAAAUCAGUAAUAAUAGUUUCUUUUUUACGAUGUACAUUUUUUCGUCAGUCAUUGUCUCAUUAUCAGUAAUGUCUUUGGAUGCACAAGUCUGAUACUGGAUUGGUAUUCAAAUAUCUACUUCUUAUCAAAUAGCUUGAAUUGUGCAACAAUUUAUUGUGGUCUAGGGUGAGACUUAGGUGCAGAUUGAGACAUCUUAGGCAUCAAUAUAGAAGGGCUCAGGUGUACACUAUAUGUGUAAACUCUUGUUCUGGAUAAGAGUCAAUGCAAUCUGUGGACCUUUCUUGGUGCCUUGUCUGCUGAUGAACUGCUUUGCAGAUGUUUCAGGGGGAUCUGAGUUAUUCUCUAAACUCUAUCUGAACACAGACAAAAGUUAUGGCAUCAUGUGAAAUGCACUGUCAGUUUCUGUCUUGCAGUUCUCUGCAGGAUGAAAUCCCCAGAAACUGGAAAAAUACAUUUAAAAUAUAUUUUUAUAUCACUACAUUCCUGGCAAAAAUAGUGAAAAGAACUUUCCUGGGUUUCUCCAAAAGACAAAUCAGGAUUCUGUAAAAUUGUUGGAUCUUCUCUUGCCGUUUGCUGUGACUCGUGCACUUCAUACAACAGUACCUGAAGCUAUUGCCCAGGCAAAGCAAUCUUGGGUAUCUUCAUGUGCUUGUGUUCUAAAACUGUGUAUCAAUGUACAUCUUGGAUCUCUCAGGCUUAUUUAAUACAUUUAAGAUAUUAACAGGAUUAUUUGAGUUGGUAACCUGAAAUAAUCUGACACUGCAUUUAUUGAUGCACAAGAUUAUUCUGAAUUUUGUGUCCAAAUGUCUUACUUACCUUACAGUUCCAUGUGAAUAAAAUUAUUUGCUUUAAACAUA